AUGUUCAGCAAAUGGAGGCACAGAGAUUUACAUUCUUUGCGGAAGGUGACACAAUUGGCAACUGGGCCUCGGCUGCAAAUCCAGGAGUCUGGCGCCAAUGUCUGGGCCCCUGACUCCUCACUGCAUCACGAUAAAACAAGCCCGGGGGCCCACCCCCGUGCUGAACCGCAGGCAGGCAGCACGGCAGCCUGUAGUCUCUUGGUCAGUCUCCACGGCUGGCCAGCGCCACAGCCACCGUGCAUUGUCUCCGAGAGGCUGCUUGAAUGUGGCGCAUCAGUGCACCUUCUUAGACCUGUUUUGCUAACUGUGCUUUUCUGUGCCCGUUUGAAUUUAGGAAAAAAUCCCGAAUUUCUCGAUUGUUCCAAGGAGAGGAAGAAUGGAAGAAACAGCAGGUUUCACCUUGGAGCAGGGCCUGAGACCUGUAGCGUGUCUCCCAGGCCAGCGCUGCCACUGGGACUCUGGGACCAAACAAAAAGAAGAACGAAAGCAGAAUCAAGAUUCAGAUUCACGUAGACCAGUGGUCGUAACAGACAGACGUCCUCCCACAGUGCUGAGAAGAAACCUGCCAUGAAGGAUUAACCACGAGUCUGGAGUGUACACUGAUGAAGGCAGGGUAAGCAAGUGAGAUUCUUAUCCUCCGUUGGUAGAGGGUUGGAGGAGGAGUGGGAGUAGGAGGGGCAGA
rnacentral:lncRNA from 1 species